UACAGGGGGGGCAAGCGUUGUUCGGAAUUACUGGGCGUAAAGGGCGCGUAGGUGGCCUUCUAAGUUGAACGUGAAAUCCCCGGGCUCAACCCGGGAACUGCGUCCGAUACUGGGAGGCUUGAAUCCGGGAGAGGGAUGUGGAAUUCCAGGUGUAGCGGUGAAAUGCGUAGAUAUCUGGAGGAACACCGGUGGCGAAGGCGGCAUCCUGGACCGGUAUUGACGCUGAGGCGCGAAAGCCAGGGGAGCAGACGGG
rnacentral:rRNA from 1 species